AUGGGACGCUCUAAAACAGACACGGUGCGAAGAGUCUAUUGAGCUAGUUGGUAGUCCUCCGGCCCCUGAAUGCGGCCAAUCCUAACUGCGGAGCACAUACUCCCAAUCCAGGGAGCAGUGUGUCGUAAUGGGUAACUCUGCAGCGGAACCGACUACUUUGGGUGUCCGUGUUUCCUUUUAUUCUCACAUUGACUGCUUAUGGUGACAAUUGAAAGAUUGUUACCAUAUAGCUAUUGGAUUGGUCNNCCGGUG
rfam:Human echovirus 1 strain Farouk 5' TTR gene sequence.